rnacentral:tRNA from 2 species
ACCAGGAUGGCCGAGUGGUUAAGGCGUUGGACUUAAGAUCCAAUGGACAAAUGUCCUCGUGGGUUCGUACCCCACUCCUGGUA